AUGAUGAAGACACUCAUUUUCUCCUCACUUUGUGUCUCGCCCUAUCAGGAACCAUCAGAGGCAAAAAUCUACUCUUGGAUGCAAUUAUUCAUGACCUGGACAAUCUUACAUUAGCAGGAAACAUCAUGUUUUAUCCAAAAACGAAUCACAGUGCAUUAAAGAAAAGUUGGACAUGUAAUAUUUCCAGAGAGUUCUUUGAAGAGCUCAGUGUGGCCCUGCAGAAUGUCAACGUAGAAAAAUUACCUCACAAAAUGAAUACUACUCUGAGAACCGUCAAGGAAGAUCUACAGAACCUCAUGGGUCAUUUCCCACAAGGGCAGAUUUUGACGGGGGGAACCAGACGGUGUAGACGGUGUCCAGGCAAACCUUUGGGUUGCUACAACACAAUCCUACGGUGCCUUAACCUUAACUGCACCUUUAAUAAAAUAGGAAAUUAACUUAUUAUCCUAACUUAUAUACAAUGACUAUUUAUUAUGAACAUGCUAUUUAUUUAAUGUUACGUAUUUAUUUGUAACUUAACCAUUUUAUGUUAUUUAUCUAAAGAGGUACAGGUCUUUAUUGAAUGUAAAAAAAAAUUGUAAUAUUGCAAUUUUUGUCUGGAGUGUAUUGCAACAAUACAUCAUAUAAAAUGUUUACAGACAUAGAAUGGUGAGACUAGACUUUUUAUUUCUAAGGCUUAACUCACCUGACUGUGGUCGCCAUGCAAAAUGAAUUUUAUUAUGACAAGCUACUAUGUUCCUGAUACUGAUUUGAUUCAAUAGAUGAACAAUUCUACAUUAAACGUAAUGCAUGUUGUUUACUUCGGUCACCUGUUAUAAG
ensembl:lncRNA